GGAGGCACAGCUCAGUGGUACAGCGUGUGCUUAGCAUGCACGAGGUCCUGGGUUCAAGCCCCAGCACCUCCA
rnacentral:tRNA from 1 species